ensembl:lncRNA
UCGACCCCUAGCCUGGGAACCUCCAUAUGCCGUGGCAGCGGCCCAAGAAAUGGCAAAAAGACAAAAAAAAAAAAAAAAAAAAAAAAAGAAUAGUUCAGACUUCUUUAUUAUCAUUAUAUUUGUUAUGGUGAUCUGUGGCCAGUGAUCUCUGAUGUUACCACUGUGAUUUGCUUAAGGCUCAGGUGAUGGUUAGCAUUUUUUAGCGAUAGCGUACUUUUCAAUUAAGAUAGGUACACUUUUUUAGAAAUAAUGCGAUUGUACACUUAGUAAACUAUCAGUAUCGUGUAAGCAUAACUUUGAGCUGCACUGAGAAACCAAAACAUUUUAGCGACUUGCCUUAUAACGGGAUACUCGUGGUAGUCUCGAAGUGAACCCACAGUACCCCCGAAGUAUGCCUGUAUCAGUGAUGAAAAGGUGAGAAAUUAGACACACUCACAAGAUUAAAAACUCCCUCUGAUAAGUGCAGAGAAAACCAUACUGAGUUACAUUUCAGGACUCCUCCUUUCCUACAGAGAAAGAACGCUUUAGGAGACUUUGGGAUAGUGGGUUUAUAUCAGGAUAAUGAUGGUCUUUGCUGUUUUUUCCAUGCCUGUUUCAAGCCGUUCUCCACCAUAGGGCCUCAGGUAUUUUAUUUCCAGCUACUCAGUCCCUUCUGUUCAAACUCAUUCACAUGAGAUGUCUUACAAACUUAUCCUUUGAUGUAAAAUACCAUUUACUCUUGCCUGUGCCUCAAAUCUAAUUUACUUUGUCCUGAUGAUAGUAACGGAGCAGGAUUGAGAAAUAAAUUUUGAAAUCAUGACUUAGAUCUAAAAGUUCGGUAUCCGUUCCAUUCUUUUCCCCAUCAGCUUCAGUUGGUAGGAUUUUGACUAACAAAUUUGGAAGCAUCUGAGAAAAUCUUAAACUCAUCUGUCAUUGUUAUGUCCCCAGUGGCAGCUAAAGAUUGCAUUCAUGGGCUUUUGCCAGAAUAAACAGUCUGAAUCUUCAGCAAGGUCUUCGGAACCUAACUGGGACUCUUUAGUUUGCCCUUUAUAGAAAUAGCUUCUGUCAGUUCUCUCUAACGAAUUCCUUUCAUGGUGCAGUGUGUAGCCCACUAAACACAGAGAGAAUAUACAAUCUUUCUCAUUUCUGAGCUUUUAAUUGAUGUGGGACCAGUGAUGUUUCAUAACUGUACUGCUUUAAUAUAGUCAUUAGACUCCAAGUCAUAGGAAAUCAACUUUUAUUUGAUACUUGGGAAAAAUAAUUUUAGGAAGCUUUCAGAAUGGAGAAAUGCACUAGAAAAUCAAAAGUACAGAUUUACUUUAAAUAUGAAACUAUUCUUUUAAGAGGGAUUUUAUUUGCAUUUUAAGUCUUCUGGGAAGGAACCCCCCGAUACGGUAUCAAUGCAGGUUUCAUUUUACAGAUAAGAAACCUGGAGUCAGAGAAGCGAUGUGCCACCAGGCAGUGGCAGAGCUGGUACUGGAACCCAGGACUCCUGGCUUCCUGCCUGCACAAAGCAAUUUCUAAGUGACCUUCACAUAAAAUAUCAUUUUAAAAGAGUGUAUUUAAAUGAACUUAAAACUUAAUAAAUUUAAAAGUUUUAAGACUUUUAUUGGACUAUUAUAUUGCACUAUGUGUGAGACCUGGUGACUAAAACAAUAUAUUACCUACUUUCUAACCUGAGAUUGGAAAAUUUUUACACCUAUAGUUGUAUACACACACAUGCAUACUAACAAACACAAACAUGUACACCCAUAUACCUAUAUAUACACACACCUACAUAUAUAUACACAUCUACACACAUACUUAUACAUGUACACUAUACAUACACAUGUGUGUAUGCCAGCACACCCACAUGCAUAUGCGUGUACAUAUGCAUAUAUAUAUAUAUACAUAUUUGUGUGUGUAUAUGUAUAUAUACAUACUCAUAUGUAUACACAUGCAUGCAGCUACACACACAUGCAUAUGUGUAUCUACACACACACACACAUAGGGCAGAAUAGUAGAAAAUAAGGGCUCAGAAAUCAGGCAAACUUACAGCCCUACUGGUACUGGCUGUGUUUCCUCAGGCAAAUCUAUUAGCCUUUAAAAAACUAAGGUUUACCAUUUGUAAAAUAAGAAAAAUAAUACUAUUCUCAGACUGUGAAAAACCAAAUACAUAACAUGUGAAGUAUUUAGCCCAUUGUCGGCCACCUAAUAAGCUCUCAGGAAGUGUUAGGAGUUGAUGCUGUGAACAGAAUGUACAGAAUGCUGGGCGGUGAGUUAAGUUGAAGAAAAGGUUGGAAAUAAAAUAAAAUAAAAUCUGAAAAAAAAAAAAAAAAAAAAUCUGAAAAAAAAAAA